GGCGGACGGGUGAGUAAUGUCUGGGAAACUGCCUGAUGGAGGGGGAUAACUACUGGAAACGGUAGCUAAUACCGCAUAACGUCGCAAGACCAAAGAGGGGGACCUUCGGGCCUCUUGCCAUCGGAUGUGCCCAGAUGGGAUUAGCUUGUUGGUGGGGUAAUGGCUCACCAAGGCGACGAUCCCUAGCUGGUCUGAGAGGAUGACCAGCCACACUGGAACUGAGACACGGUCCAGACUCCUACGGGAGGCAGCAUG
rnacentral:rRNA from 1 species